CACCGACUUGCAUGUUGAUGUUGCUGUGCAUAGUGCGUGUCCUGUGAAACACCCAGAAGCGAAUAUUGGAAAGAUGCAGAAGAUCAGAAGUGCAGUUACAAUGAUCAGAGAUCCAGCAGCAGCACAACAGAUGAUGACUAGAUGAUUGGAGGUGAAAGGUGAAGGUUCUGUAAUGGAUAAAAAGAGUCUUUACUGGAACUGAAUCUGAUUCUAGAUCACAUCAGAACAAUAAUCACAUGUGACUCACUUGAACACUUGUGACAGACAUCAGGGUUGAGAUGUUGAGUCUGGUUUGUGAUGUGAUUGUUCACUACACAUGUGUAAGAAUCAUCCAGACACUCCAGAUGAAGAGAGAUGUUGAUGUUACUGUGUUCAGACACACUGAUGCUGGACAAUAAACUCUUUCCUUUGUACCAGGAGAGACUCACAUGUGACACAUUCAUCAAUGAACACAACACAGAACAGUUUGAUCUUGAUGAUGAAGAGACUCUGGUGAUGACAGGAACAGACAGACGAGCUGAAAAACACAACAGUGAAGAAUAAGAGCUUAACAAGAUGCCAAAUUAAUGUUUAUUAUAAAACACAAAUCUUGAUUUCACUAUAUUCAAAACUUUCUCUACUUUAAAUAAUAUUUAUAAUAAUGACAGAAUAUUAUGGAAGAUAUUAAGCAGUUAUUGUCCAAUCACCAUAGACAGUAAUGUUGAAUAUAUUGAGUUGAUUCCCUGAGGUUUUCUUGAUGAUUUUAUAAAGUCCAGAGUGAUCCGUUCUGAUGUUGUUGAUGGUGAGAGAUCCAGUGUGAUCCAGCUUCAGUCUGUCUCUGAAUCUUCCAUCAAGUCUGUCUUCAUAUAAAAUGGGGAACUUG